UGGGGAAUAUUGCGCAAUGGGCGAAAGCCUGACGCAGCGACGCCGCGUGAGGGAUGAAGGUUUUCGGAUCGUAAACCUCUGUCAGAAGGGAAGAAACCGCACUGGGCUAAUCAGCAGUGCCUUGACGGUACCUUCAAAGGAAGCAACGGCUAACUCCGUGCCAGCAGCCGCGGUAAUACGGAGGGGGCAAGCGUUAAUCGGAAUUACUGGGCGUAAAGCGCACGUAGGCUGCUUUGUAAGUCAGGGGUGAAAUCCCACGGCUCAACCGUGGAACUGCAUUGGAUACUGCUUAGCUUGAAUCCGGGAGAGGGUGGCGGAAUUCCAGGUGUAGGAGUGAAAUCCGUAGAUAUCUGGAGGAACAUCAGUGGCGAAGGCGGCCACCUGGACAGGUAUUGACGCUGAGGUGCGAAAGCGUGGGGAGCAAACAGG
rnacentral:rRNA from 1 species